rnacentral:rRNA from 1 species
CCUACGGGGGGCAGCAGUGAGGAAUAUUGGUCAAUGGCCGAGAGGCUGAACCAGCCAAGUCGCGUGAGGGAAGACGGCCCUACGGGUUGUAAACCGCUUUUGUCGGGGAGCAAAGCGAACCACGUGUGGUUCAUUGAGAGUACCCGAAGAAACAGCAUCGGCUAACUCCGUGCCAGCAGCCGCGGUACUACGGAGGAUGCGAGCGUUAUCCGGAUUGAUUGGGUUGAAAGGGUGCGCAGGCGGAGGUGCAAGUCAGCGGUCAAAUUGCGGUGCUCAACCCCGUACUGCCGUUGAAACUGAAGCCCUUGAGUGAGCGAGAAGUAUGCGGAAGGCGGGGUGUAGCGGUGAAAUGCAUAGAUAUCACGCAGAACUCCGAUUGCGAAGGCAGCAUACCGGCGCGCAACUGACGCUCAUGCACGAAAGCGUGGGUAUCGAACAGGAUUAGAUACCCCAGUAGUC